rnacentral:tRNA from 6 species
GCGGUUGUGGCGGAAUGGCAGACGCGCUACUUUGAGGGGGUAGUGAGCGAAAGCUCAUGGGGGUUCAAGUCCCCCCAACCGCACCA